CAGUAGUCAUAUGCUUGUCUCAAAGAUUAAGCCAUGCAUGUCUCAGUACUAACCGCUUUAAGGCGAAACCGCGAAUGGCUCAUUAAAUCAGUUAUGGUUCCUUGGAUCUUACCCACACUUACAUGGAUAACUGUGGUAAUUCUAGAGCUAAUACAUGAACCUCGCGCCCCGACCAGUGAUGGAAGGGGUGCUUUUAUUAGAACAAAACCAAUCGGUCGGUCUUCCGUCCGUUGCCUUGGUGACUCUGAAUAACUUUUGGCUGAUCGCACGGUCCUAGCACCGGCGACGCAUCUUUCAAAUGUCUGCCUUAUCAACUUUCGAUGGUAGGUUCUGCGCCUACCAUGGUUGUAACGGGUGACGGGGAAUCAGGGUUCGAUUCCGGAGAGGGAGCCUGAGAAACGGCUACCACAUCCAAGGAAGGCAGCAGGCGCGCAAAUUACCCACUCCCGGAACGGGGAGGUAGUGACGAAAAAUAACGAUACGGGACUCAUCCGAGGCCCCGUAAUCGGAAUGAGAACACUUUAAAUCCUUUAACGAGGAUCUAUUGGAGNGCAAGUCUGNGUGCCNGCAGCCAGCGUAAUUCCAGCUCCAAUAGCGUAUAU
rnacentral:rRNA from 1 species